rnacentral:siRNA from 1 species
CCCGUGGGCUGCCUGCGUCCA